rnacentral:tRNA from 1 species
AGAAAUGUGCCUGAUUAAAGGGUUAAUUUGAUAGAUUAAAUAAUGAAUUAUUGUUAUGUCUA